rnacentral:rRNA from 1 species
AAUGGACGAAAGUCUGACGCAGCAACGCCGCGUGAGUGAAGAAGGCCCUUGGGUUGUAAAGCUUUGUCAAGAGGGACGAAAACCAGUAGGUUCAUAGCCUAUUGGUCUGACGGUACCUCUGAAGGAAGCACCGGCUAACUCCGUGCCAGCAGCCGCGGUAAUACGGAGGGUGCAAGCGUUGCUCGGAAUUACUGGGCGUAAAGGGGAGGCAGGUGGUCUCGUAUGUCUGGAGUGAAAUCCCGGGGCUUAACCCCGGAAAUGCUUUGGAAACGGCGAGACUAGAGUUCUAGAGAGGGUCGCGGAAUUCCCGGUGUAGCGGUGAAAUGCGUAGAGAUCGGGAGGAACACCAGAUGCGAAGGCGGCGGCCUGGAUAGAUACUGACACUCAACUCCGACAGCGUGGGUAGCAAACAGGAUU